rnacentral:rRNA from 1 species
CACGUAGGGCGCAAGCGUUGUCCGGAAUUAUUGGGCGUAAAGAGCUCGUAGGCGGACUGUCACGUCUGCUGUGAAAAGCUAGGGCUUAACCCUGGCCUUGCAGUGGAUACGGGCAGACUAGAGGUAGGUAGGGGAGAAUGGAAUUCCCGGUGUAGCGGUGAAAUGCGCAGAUAUCGGGAGGAACACCGGUGGCGAAGGCGGUUCUCUGGGCCUUACCUGACGCUGAGGCGCGAAAGCGUGGGGAGCGAACAGG